UACAGAGACCUCAAGCGUUAUCCGGAAUCAUUGGGCGUAAAGCGUACCGACAGGUGGUUUAGAAAGUCAGAUGUGAAAUUCCAAGGCUCAACCUUGGGACUGUCAUUUGAAACUCCUAAACUAGAGGGGCAAAGAGGAAGCUGGAACGAACGGUGUAGUAGUGAAAUGCGUUGAUAUCGUUCGGAACACCAAUAGCGAAGGCAGGCUUCUGGGUGCCACCUGACACUGCUAGGACGAAAGCGUGGGGAGCGAAUGGG
rnacentral:rRNA from 1 species